UACGAAGGGGGCUAGCGUUGUUCGGAAUUACUGGGCGUAAAGAGCUCGUAGGCGGUUUGUCGCGUCUGCCGUGAAAGUCCGGGGCUCAACUCCGGAUCUGCGGUGGGUACGGGCAGACUAGAGUGAUGUAGGGGAGACUGGAAUUCCUGGUGUAGCGGUGAAAUGCGCAGAUAUCAGGAGGAACACCGAUGGCGAAGGCAGGUCUCUGGGCAUUAACUGACGCUGAGGAGCGAAAGCAUGGGGAGCGAACAGGA
rnacentral:rRNA from 1 species